CAGUCGCCGCGGGAAUACGGAGGGUGCAAGCGUUAAUCGGAAUUACUGGGCGUAAAGCGCACGCAGGCGGUCUGACAAGUCAGAUGUGAAAUCCCCGGGCUUAACCUGGGAACUGCAUUUGAAACUGUCAGGCUGGAGUCUUGUAGAGGGGGGUGGAAUUCCAGGUGUAGCGGUGAAAUGCGUAGAGAUCUGGAGGAAUACCGGUGGCGAAGGCGGCCCCCUGGACAAAGACUGACGCUCAGGUGCGAAAGCGUGGGGAGCAAACAGGAUUAGAGACCCCUGUAGUCCCUGUCUCUUAUAC
rnacentral:rRNA from 1 species